rnacentral:lncRNA from 1 species
UUAACUUAAUAAUCCUGAUUGUUAUCCUGCCCAUGAAUUCCCUCCCGGGUUAAUACUAACUUGUCCUGAUUAUCAUGUACCUAACGUGUAAUUAACAUUCUAAUUAUUUAAUGUACUUAUAGUAUCCACAUAAAAUAUCUAAAAGAGCCAGGGAUCUAAAAAGAGUGAAAGCAUAUGCAUUUUAAAAGAUUCUGCAGGAUGCUGAUCUGCUAUUCUCACUUAGAGAGGAUACCAAUUCAGCAUUCUGUUUUGUGUAAACUAUGCAUAAAUUCGCCUACAAUCCCUCUUUCUAAUAGCUAUGCACACCAUAAUGGAUUAAAUAAUUAAAAUGGAGAAGAACUUUGGGAUUAAGCUCCUCUCAUACACUAAUUCACCCUAAAUCCUAAUGUUAUCAUGCAAAUCAUAAUUUACGGGAAGUAACUUAACUUUCUUUCUAAACUAAUAUUGUCAUGCAUAUAUUUUGGGCAACUAAGAUACUAACUAAUCAUAAAGGUUGAGCUUCUAAGGGAACCCACCUGAAAUCGACGCUUGAACCAUACCACCGACAUUUCCGAAACUCGUCGAAAAGCAGAAUUUGCAACGAAACUACUCCAAACUUGUGUGCAGAUUUUUCUGCAUAAUACCAGCAUCAGAGUUCCAACUUCAAAAAUACCUACUGGCCACAAUUCUGGUCCAUAAAUUAUGAAACCGGGACCAUAACGACCGUAUUUGAGUCAGCUUUCCAUAGCAAUCAGAAUAAAUCCAAACGGAGUUACAGAGAGAAAUAAUUUACCGUUUGAGUGCAGCCCAAUCCCAAACACUUUCUGCAUAAAUUCUGUGUUGGACCUUUCACUUUAAAGAUUCGUCGAGACCUCAUUUCUCCAUUACAUCUCACUAGGCUGGUACCUAAACGACCGGGAUUACGUUAGCUAUCCAGAACAUCAAGAAUGGUUAAAUUUGGACUAACACAGAGAGAAGUACGACCAUUUUAGUGAGGGUACAUCCAGCAUACGAAUUUCCAUAAAUAUUUCCAGUCUUCUUUGUUUCCUUGUUUCAACAAUUGUCCUUACUGAUUCGUACAUCCUCAGUCAUCAUUCAAGCAUCCAAUGCUUCUUAAUAAAUUCUAUUUUCCUUUAUAAUGGUUCUGAAUUCCACUUUUAAUUCCAUGCUCAGCUCCAAUUAUUUAACCAAGCCUCAUUCACCACAAAAACCACAUGUAAAUACCAAGAAUGGAAUUAAUGACAUUUUCUAACAUCGAAGAAUAUGCUGAUUCUGAAAUCUGAAUGAAAGGAAAAGAGCUCUAAGUUUUCUUACCAAUAUUCAAGAAUGGUUUGACAAAGAUGCAGAAGAACUGUUGCCCUGCUACGGUCAUUGAGAGACCUUCCUGCUCGCUAGGUGAGCUGUUGCAGUAAGCAAAAUGCAGCUUUUGCUGCCAUCCUCCACUUCCAGCGGCCGUAGAAUCAUGAAUUAAGUGUUGAAACUCCAAGCUUCAAGCUUUUCCCCAACUUCUCUAUCUCCAUGAACUUCUUAUUUUUGCCACUAAGUUCUCAACUUCCAAUUUGACCCCUUUUACUCAAACCUCCGAAUCUUUGAGGUUUUAAUCAAUACUUUGUUCCUUGCUCUAAUUGACCCAAGAAACUAAUGAGUGGAUUGCAUGCAAGAAUCUUCCAUGUUUGAUUGUUGAAUAAAUGGAAAGGUAGAGAUGAGGGUGGGAGGCGUGAGAGAGGGUGAGGGAGUCUUUGUUUCCUGAGUGCUCUUUCAGUUCAGCAAAUGAAAAAUGAAAUUGAAGAGAUAUGGCUUUGGUCAUGUGGUUCAUAAUCAAAGUGU